rnacentral:lncRNA from 10 species
UUUAUUUCUUUCAAGAUUGAGUCUUGCUCUGUCGCUCAGGCUGGAGUGCAGUGGCAAUCUCAGCUCGCUGCAGCCUCUGCCUCCCAGGCUCAAGCGAUUCUCCUGCCUCAGCUUCCCGAGUAGCUGGGACUACAGGCGUGUGCCACCACGCCUAGCUAAUUUUUGUAUUUUUAGUAGAGACGGGGUUUCACCAUGUUGGCCAGGCUGGUCUCGAACUCCUGACCUCAGAGAGAUCCCAUCUCUACAAAAAAAAAAAAAAAAAAAUUAGCCGGGUGUGGUGGUGCACGCCUGUGGUCCCAGCUAUUUGGGAGGCUGAGGUGGGAGGAUCACUUGAGCCUAGGAGUUCAAGACUGCAGUGAGCCACGACUAAGCAGCAGCACUCUCCAUCGUUUUACGUGGUAAACAGGUAAAAAAACUGCACUAUGAUGAAAACAGCAGAUAAGACACAACAAAAAAAAUUAUAAGUAAUGUAUAAGGUUUUAAUUUUCAGAGUUAAAAUGAGAGGCCUACUCUGCCAAACAUUACUAUGAU